rnacentral:tRNA from 1 species
GGAUCAUCACACUUUGGACGCUCAAGUGAUGCUGUACUGCUAAGGAAGUAACAUCGUAAGGUGUUCGUGGGUUCGAAUCCCACCCUCUCCG